rnacentral:misc_RNA from 1 species
GGAAUAUGUAGUUUUUGAUGAAGCUGAUUGUCUCUUUGACAUGGGUUUUGCUGAGCAGCUGCAUAAAAUCCUUGCACAACUGAGUGAGAAUCGUCAGACCUUGCUUUUUAGUGCCACCUUACCAAGUGUUCUUGCAGAGUUUGCGAAGGCUGGUCUUCGUGAUCCCCAGCUUGUGCGCCUUGAUUUAGACACUAAGAUUAGCCCCGAUCUAAAGCUUGUCUUUUUUACUUUGCGUCAAGAAGAGAAGAAUGCAGCA